rnacentral:lncRNA from 1 species
GUUCAAAGUGAUGGGAGAUGUAAGAGAUCAUCUAGAAAGGCAUGAUGAGGCAAUUAAUAGAUUGCAAGGUGAACCACGGCAUGGGAGACAACCAACCUUUGUCAAUGAUGAAUAUGAUGGUGGCGAUGAUGUGGAUGAUGACCAAGUUACUCUAAUUGGUCAAUAUGUUAAUCCUAGGAGACAAACUAGGAGGGGACGUUUUGAUGGUGUGGACAGAAACAUAUGCAGUAUCAAAAUGAAAAUUCCUUCUUUUCA